rnacentral:rRNA from 1 species
UGCAAGUCGAGCGGUAAGGCCUUUCGGGGUACACGAGCGGCGAACGGGUGAGUAACACGUGGGUGAUCUGCCCUGCACUCUGGGAUAAGCUUGGGAAACUGGGUCUAAUACCGGAUAUGACCGCAUGCUGCAUGUGGUGUGGUGGAAAGAUUUAUCGGUGCAGGAUGGGCCCGCGGCCUAUCAGCUUGUUGGUGGGGUAAUGGCCUACCAAGGCGACGACGGGUAGCCGACCUGAGAGGGUGACCGGCCACACUGGGACUGAGACACGGCCCAGACUCCUACGGGAGGCAGCAGUGGGGAAUAUUGCACAAUGGGCGGAAGCCUGAUGCAGCGACGCCGCGUGAGGGAUGAAGGCCUUCGGGUUGUAAACCUCUUUCAGCAGGGACGAAGCGUGAGUGACGGUACCUGCAGAAGAAGCACCGGCUAACUACGUGCCAGCAGCCGCGGUAAUACGUAGGGUGCGAGCGUUGUCCGGAAUUACUGGGCGUAAAGAGUUCGUAGGCGGUUUGUCGCGUCGUUUGUGAAAACCCGGGGCUCAACUUCGGGCUUGCAGGCGAUACGGGCAGACUUGAGUGUUUCAGGGGAGACUGGAAUUCCUGGUGUAGCGGUGAAAUGCGCAGAUAUCAGGAGGAACACCGGUGGCGAAGGCGGGUCUCUGGGAAACAACUGACGCUGAGGAACGAAAGCGUGGGUAGCAAACAGGAUUAGAUACCCUGGUAGUCCACGCCGUAAACGGUGGGCGCUAGGUGUGGGUUCCUUCCACGGGAUCUGUGCCGUA